CAGUAGCCGCGGUAAUACAGAGGGUGCGAGCGUUAAUCGGAUUUACUGGGCGUAAAGCGUGCGUAGGCGGCUUUUUAAGUCGGAUGUGAAAUCCCUGAGCUUAACUUAGGAAUUGCAUUCGAUACUGGGAAGCUAGAGUAUGGGAGAGGAUGGUAGAAUUCCAGGUGUAGCGGUGAAAUGCGUAGAGAUCUGGAGGAACACCGAUGGCGAAGGCAGCCCCCUGGGCCAAUACUGACGCUCAUGCACGAAAGCGUGGGGAGCAAACAGGAUUAGAUACCCCUGUAGUCCCUGUCUCUUAUAC
rnacentral:rRNA from 1 species